UAUUUAUUAUUUAUUAUACUAUUUAUAAUUAUUUCUGUAUCUACCUAUAUGCUGAAAACCAUGAGUUCACACCAGUAUCUCCUAUUCUAAAACACCAUGGGGUACAUUCCAAUUUUCUCCUUUUUCACAUUUCUAAUUCCCAUUCCAAAUAACACAAAGCCUAGAUCCCAUUAUCCUUAAUAUUAUCUACUUCCUAGAUCAACCUUCUACAAGUAACCAAUCUUCCACUGCUGUUCUCUUCUCUGCACCCCAUCCCCACCUACCCCAGGACGUGUCCUCACCCUGCUCAGUUCUGACAUGCUGCACCAGACCAGACCUCACCAAGAACUCCCUCACUACCACAUCCAGGCUGCCAGAGACCAUACAAUAGCACUGCCUCCUCCACAACAGCAACCUCCAUGCUCUGUGGCUCCCUACUUCUGGGCGGAUGGCUGCAUUAGGCUCUACAACAGGGAUAACAGAUAUAUGCCUACACUUCCUUCCUCCGUACUCACUACUGUAUCCAGACUGAAUUAGGCCUGGAAAAGGAAAUUCUGGAACCAACAUCAUGCAUAUGUACCAUCGUAAUUUCAUCUCCUGGCAUGUGAAUCAAUGGAGAGAUGAACACAUGAAUAAAUAAGGUACUGGCAAA